rnacentral:lncRNA from 1 species
AGAAAUCGCUGUAACUGGUGGCAAUGGCCCCAUAUAAGGAGGUGGCAAUUCGCUCAUCGGUGGUGGUGGGGGUGGAGAAUUGCAAGGAACUGGUGGAGGUGGUGGGGGUGAACUAUAGUGAAUUGGAGGUGGUGGACUAUGAUGAAUUGGAGGUGGGGGUGAACUGUAAUGUGGUGGUGGAGGUGGGCUAUAAUAGAUUGGUGGCGGUGGUGAAGGUGGAGGAGGGGAGUUAUAAUGGAUUGGUGGCGGUGGUGGUGAUGGAGAUGGGGUUGGCAAAUAGCUAGGAGUAGGUGGUGGCGGUGGUUCAAUGCAAGGUUGAGGAGGAGGUGGUGGUUCUAUGCAAGGUGGAGGAGGAGAAUACACAGGUUGAGGUGGUGGUGGGGACUCAUAGUAAUACGGUGGUGGUGGUGAAAGGUGAAUGGGCGGCGGUGGGCUAUACACUGGUGACGGUGGUGGUGGAGAAUGCACAUGUGGUGGGGGUGGUGGAUAGUGAGGAGGCGGUGGUGGAUGGUGAGAAGGAGGUGGUGGAUAGUGAUGCGGUGGUGGAUAGUGAGGAGGCGGUGGUGGAUGGUGAGAAGGGGGAGGUGGAUAGUGAGGCGGUGGUGGUGGUGGUGAAUUUGGCGGAGGUGGUGGGGGAGACCUUAUACAAUAAGGUGGUGAAAUUGGAGGUGGCGGUGAAUUUAGCGGAGGAGGUGGUGGCGAAUAUACCGGAGGUGGUGGGGACAAAAUUGGCGGUGGUGGCGAUGGUGGUGGGGGGGAUGGCGGGGGUGGCGAUGGUGGUGGGGGAGAUGGUGGGGGUGGCGAAGGUGGUGCGGGAGAUGGUGGGGGUGGCGAAGGGGGUGGGGGAGAUGGUGAAGGUGGUGGUGGGGAUGGCGGGGGUGGCGAAGGUGGUGGGGGGGAUGGUGGAGGUGGAGGUGGAGGUGGAGGGGGAGGGGGAGGUGGCGGAGGGGAAGGUGGCGGAGGCGGAGGCGGAGGCGGAGGCGGCGAGUAUAGAGGAGAUGGUGGUGGAGAUGGCGAGGGAGGCGAAGGUGGUGGUGGUGAAUAUAGAGGAGGUGGCAGAGAUGGCGGAGGUGGUGAAUAUAGCGGAGCCGGUGGUGGCGACAAAAUUGGUGGCGGCGGUGGCGACAAAAUUGGCUGUGGUGGUGGCAAUGAAAUUGGCGGAGGUGGGGGCGAAGAAAUUGGCACCGGAGGGGGCAAUGAAACUGGUGGCGAUGGGGGUGAUAAAACCAGAGGUGGCGGGGGCGAAAAUACCGGUGGAGGAGAUGGCGAAACUCGACCACACUUGACACUACCACAAU